AGCUCCAAUAGCGUAUACUAAAGUUGUUGCAGUUAAAAAGCUCGUAGUUGAACUUCUGGAUGUGAAAGGUGGUCGGCACCUCACGGUGUCUGUACUUAUCAUUCGCGUCCAUCCUCGGGAGGAACAUGUGGACACUUCAGUGGGUCUGCUUGGGAAUCUCGUCAUUUACUGUGAGCAAAAUAGAGUGUUCAAAGCAGGCUUAUGCCGUUGAAUAUAUUAGCAUGGAAUAAUAAGAUACGACUUUGGUCUAUUUUGUUGGUUUACAUUCCAAAGUAAUGAUUAAUAGGGAUAGUUGGGGGUAUUCGUAUUCAAUUGUCAGAGGUGAAAUUCUUGGAUUUAUGGAAGACGAACUACUGCGAAAGCAUUUACCAAGGAUGUUUUCA
rnacentral:rRNA from 1 species